rnacentral:rRNA from 1 species
GAUGAACGCUGGCGGCGUGCCUAAUACAUGCAAGUCGAGCGAACGGACGAGAAGCUUGCUUCUCUGAUGUUAGCGGCGGACGGGUGAGUAACACGUGGAUAACCUACCUAUAAGACUGGGAUAAUUUCGGGAAACCGGAUCUAAUACCGGAUGAUAUUUUGAACCGCAGGGUUCAAAAGUGAAAGACGGUCUUGCUGUCACUUAUAGAUGGAUCCGCGCUGCAUUAGCUAGUUGGUAAGGUAACGGCUUACCAAGGCAACGAUGCAUAGCCGACCUGAGAGAGUGAUCGGCCACACUGGAACUGGGCCACGGUCCAGACUCCUACGGGAGGCAGCAGUAGGGAAUCUUCCGCAAUGGGCGAAAGCCUGACGGAGCAACGCCGAGUGAGUGAUGAAGGUCUUCGGAUCGUAAAACUCUGUUAUUAGGGAAGAACAUAUGUGUAAGUAACUGUGCACAUCUUGACGGUACCUAAUCAGAAAGCCACGGCUAACUACGUG